rnacentral:rRNA from 1 species
AACGAACGCUGGCGGCAUGCCUAACACAUGCCAGUCGAACGAGACCUUCGGGUCUAGUGGCGCACGGGUGCGUAACGCGUGGGAACCUGCCCUUGGGUUCGGAAUAACUCCCCGAAAGGGGUGCUAAUACCGGAUAUUGUCUUCGGACCAAGGAUUAUCGCCUUUGGAUGGGCCCGCGUUGGAUUAGCUAGUUGGUAGGGUAAAAGCCUACCAAGGCGACGAUCCAUAGCUGGUCUGAGAGGAUGAUCAGCCACACUGGGACUGAGACACGGCCCAGACACCGACGGGAGGCAGCAGUGGGGAAUAUGGGACAAUGGGCGAAAGCCUGAUCCAGCAAGGCCGCGAGAGUGAUGAAGGCCUUAGGGUUGUAAAGCUCUUUUACCCGGGAUGAUAAUGACAGUACCGGGAGAAUAAGCUCCGGCUAACUCCUU